GACCUGGUCGGGCGGUCCGCUUAACGGCGUGUACUGUCUGACUGGGCCUUACCUCUUGGUGAGCCAGCGUGCCCUUUAUUGGUGUGCGUUGGGGAACCAGGACUUUUACCUUGAGAAAAUUAGAGUGUUUAAAACAGGCAUUUUGCUUGAAUACAUUAGCAUGGAAUAACGGAAUAGGAC
rnacentral:rRNA from 1 species